GCUUUUCCUCUUUGUGGGCUCUCCCAGCUCUUGGCUCCAUCCCCACUGAUGGACAUGAUCCACUGGCCUGGAGUUUUGGUAGGAGGAGAGUAACUUGGGGAAUGGAGUUUCAAGAGUCAAGAAGUUUAAUGAACUCCAAACAGGAUAAAAUUAAAGAAACCACAUAUAGACCCAUCAGAAUCAAACUGGUGAAAAUUCAGGUGAAGAAAAACCUUUGAAAGCAGCUAGAGGAAAAACUACACUUUACAUAUAAAGGAACAAGAGUUCUAAUGACAGGAAAUUUUUCAUUAGAACCCUGAAGGUCCCGAAGACAGUGGAACAUCAUUUUUAAAGUGCUGAAAGAAAAGCACCAUCAACCCAGAAUUCUAUAGCCAGCAAAAAUAUCCUCCAGUCAAAGUCCCCGCAGGAGCUGAAUGGCACACCCAGACAAUGUGAUCGUGGAGAAUUUCAGGAAGGAGCUUUUCACAAAGGUGUGAGCUGUUGAUGGAAAUCAGCAUGGAGUGAUCAGGCACCUCAGGACCAAAGAUGGCUCAUCCCAGGACCUGAAGGACAAUGGGAGAGAGAGACAUCCCAGGUGAGGGGCUGUCCAACAGGAGCUCUGCCUCUUCUACAGACACUGCCUGACUGUGGGUGUGCACACAUAGAUGGACGAGCACACGCAUGUGCAUACCUGUGUGUGCACCUGUAGGAGGGAGACAAGCCCUCCAGCCUCCUUCUCCUGCUGCCCUAUGGCACCCCCUCCCCACACGCACACCAGUGCCUGCCAUUGGCCAAACCCAACUGAAAGCCUCCAGGGUUUCAGAGCAGGUCAUGGAAAGGUGGAGAGUGGGCUGCAGAUGGAGAGGAUCUGGUAUACACCGUCUCACUUAAUUUGCACAAUGAUCUGAGAAGGAUGGCUGUAACUAUUAACAUCUGGGGAUUAUAGACAAAAUAAAGCCUGAGAAGUUGACUCUUCCAGGAUCAACGGCUAUGCCAAGGAAUAAUUGGAUCUUUAUUGUCUAUAGGAGCAAGUAUUGUUGUUGUUGUUGUUGUUGUUGUUGUGUGUGUGUGUGUGUGUGUGAGCAGGGGUAGAUGGUGAGGACGAGGGACACACAGCAGGCUGGAGCCCUCAUUGGCCGCCUUGAAAGGGAACCCCUGGGAAAGCCAGGGGGCGCAUUAUGGAUCUAGGGUGGACAUUGUGUAUUAGGAUCUAGACACUGGGACUUGGAAGCAUGGAGAACACUAGGGCCCCAGGCCCAAGCAGAGGCGAUAGUGGUGUCAGGAGGAAUAGUGAGGUAGAGUGGGACUCUCAAACUUUCUGGUAUGAGGAGUCCUUCACACUCUUAAAAAGCAUCAAAAGCAGCAUUUCUUUAUGUGGGUUGUAUUUCUUAACGCAAUCUUUCCUGUAUUAGAAAUCAAAAAAGACAUUUAUUUUAAAGCACUUGUUGUCAGUGU